rnacentral:rRNA from 1 species
GAUGAACGCUGGCGGCGUGCCUAAUACAUGCAAGUCGAGCGAACAGACGAGGAGCUUGCUCCUCUGACGUUAGCGGCGGACGGGUGAGUAACACGUGGAUAACCUACCUAUAAGACUGGGAUAACUUCGGGAAACCGGAGCUAAUACCGGAUAAUAUAUUGAACCGCAUGGUUCAAUAGUGAAAGACGGUUUUGCUGUCACUUAUAGAUGGAUCCGCGCCGCAUUAGCUAGUUGGUAAGGUAACGGCUUACCAAGGCAACGAUGCGUAGCCGACCUGAGAGGGAGGAUGGCCACCUCGGAACUGAGGAACGGUCCAAACACCGACGGGGGGCCACAGUAGGGAAUCCUCCGCAAGGGGGCAAAGGGUGACGGAACAAAGCCGGGGGAAUGAUGAAGGUGCUCGGAACCGAAAACUCUGUUAUUAGGGAAGAACAAAUGUGUAAGUAACUAUGCACGUCUUGACGGUACCUAAUCAGAAAGCCACGGCUAACUACGUG